rnacentral:rRNA from 1 species
UACGUAGGGGGCAAGCGUUGUCCGGAUUUAUUGGGCGUAAAGAGCGUGUAGGCGGCUAGGUAGGUCCGUUGUGAAAACUCGAGGCUCAACCUCGAGACGCCGGUGGAAACCAUCUAGCUAGAGUCCGGAAGAGGAGAGUGGAAUUCCUGGUGUAGCGGUGAAAUGCGCAGAUAUCCGGAGGAACACCCGUGGCGAAGGCGGCUCUCUGGGACGGUACUGACGCUGAGGCGCGAAAGCGUGGGGAGCGAACAGG